CUUGGUCAUUUAGAGGAAGUAACGGUCGUAACAAGGUUUCCGUAGGUGAACCUGCGGAAGGAUCAUUAACAGAUCAUUGCGGGCUUCGGCUCACAUUAACCCGGCCGCGAGGCCAGGUCUUGUAGACCUUGCAAGAGGUCAACAUUAACGCUUGCAUGUUGGACUGUGUGAUGGAUCAAUGAAAUGACAACUUUUAACAAUGGAUCUCUUGGCUCUUGCAACGAUGAAGAACGCAGCGAAAUGCGAAAAGUAAUGCGAUUUGCAUGAAUCUGUGAGUCAUCAAGUCUUUGAACGCACCUUGCACUCUUUGCGCAAGUAAAGAGUAUACCUGUUUGAGAAUUAUAACUACCUUUACCAUCUGGUAGAUUUGGCUGUUCGACCAUUGGGUCGUCGGCUUAAAUGGGGUAAGCUAUGGGCUGGGCACGGCGCCUAGACAUUGUGUGAUAGAGGCACCUCGUGUCUACUCACAAUGCGUCUGGGCGAUCAACCUGCUUGGUUCCGGCUUGACAGGAGGCUUUGCGGCCACCACCUUUUGAACUGUAAUCUCAAAUCAGGUAAGGCUACCCGCUGAACUUAAGCAUAUCAAUAAGCGGAGGA
rnacentral:rRNA from 1 species